AGAGUUUGAUCAUGGCUCAGAACUAACGCUGGUGGCGUGUCUUAGUCAUGCAAGUCGAACGAGAAAGCACCUUCGGGUGCGAGUAAAGUGGCGAACGGGUGAGUAACACGUGGGUAACCUACCUUUGAGUGGGGAACAACCCCUCUAACGAGGGGCUAAUACCGCAUAAUGCAGCGGCUCCGCAUGGAGACAGUUGUUAAAGGGGCAGCUUCGGUUGUCUCGCUUGAAGAUGGACCCGCGGUCCAUUAGCUUGUUGGUGAGGUAACGGCUCACCAAGGCAACGAUGGAUAGCCGGCCUGAGAGGGUGUACGGUCACACUGGAACUGAGAAAGGUCCAGUCCCCUACGGGGGCCAGCAGUCUAGAAAUUUGCGCAAUGGGCGAAAGCCUGACGCAGCGACGCCACGUGGAGGAUGAAGCCCUUAGGGGUGUAAACUCCUGUCAGAAGGGAAGAAUGCAGGAAAUAACUUUUCCUGUUUGACGGUACCUUCAGAGGAAGCCCCGGCUAACUUCGUGCCAGCAGCCGCGGUAAUACGAAGGGGGCAAGCGUUGUUCGGAUUUACUGGGCGUAAAGGGCGUGCAGGCGGACCGAUAAGUCGUCUGUGAAAUCUGUCGGCUCAACCAACAACUUGCAGUCGAAACUAUCGGUCUUGAGUACAGGAGAGGAGAGCGGAAUCUCAGGUGUAGCGGUGAAAUGCGUAGAUAUCUGGGAGAACACCGGUGGCGAAGGCGGCUCUCUGGCCUGAUACUGACGCUGAGGCGCGAAAGCUAGGGGAGCGAACGGGAUUAGAUACCCCGGUAGUCCUAGCUGUAAACGAUGGGUACUAGGUGUUGGAGGUUUUGACCCCUCCAGUGCCGCAGCUAACGCAUCAAGUACCCCGCCCUGGGGGAGUACGGUCGCAAGGCUGAACCUCAAGGAAUUGACCGGG
rnacentral:rRNA from 1 species